rnacentral:rRNA from 1 species
AAUCUUGGACAAUGGGCGCAAGCCUGAUCCAGCCAUGCCGCGUGAGUGAAGAAGGCCUUAGGGCUGUAAAGCUCUUUCGCCCGCGAAGAUAAUGACGGUAGCGGGCGAAGCAGCCCCGGCUAACUCCGUGCCAGCAGCCGCGGUAAUACGGGGGGGGCUAGCGUGGUCCGGAGUCACUGGGCGUAAAGCGCGCGUAGGCGGCCUGUUAAGUUGGAUGUGAAAGCCCGGGGCUCAACCUCGGAGGCGCAUCCGAAACUGGCGGGCUGGAGUCCGGGAGAGGGCGGCGGAAUUCCCAGUGUAGAGGUGAAAUUCGUAGAUAUUGGGAAGAACACCGGUGGCGAAGGCGGCCGCCUGGUCCGGCACUGACGCUGAGGCGCGAAAGCGUGGGGAGCAAACAGG